CCCAUCAAUCGCUCAGUAGUCAGUGUAGAUUCUGUCUUUUACAAUCAGCAGCUACAUCUGGCUACUGGGUCUCUGAUGACAUCU
rfam:Phaethon lepturus contig9365, whole genome shotgun sequence.